AUGCAAGUCCAAAGAGACCACAUUAGAGCAAAAAUCCCCAACAUAGAUUUUCCUUUUCCUAAUUUUAGGGGCAGGUUAAAGGUGUUUUGGAUCACACGCCAUGGAAAUUUAGCAACAGGACAUUGCAAGAAAGAUGAUCAACCAUUUCAUCCUUUCCACAAAAAAACACAUUUAGAGUACCCGGCCCAGCCUCUUUUUAGUAGGUUAUCUUUAGUUGGCACACUUUUCCUGACCAUCAAUCGAUCAGACACUCUAAUCUUGAGAGGUACAUUAUUUAUCCACACAAAUUUGAAGGGAAAGUUCACACUACUUAGUAUCACUUGCUCAUCGAUAGAUUUGACAAAAAAUCACUUGGUAUAA
rnacentral:rRNA from 1 species